CAUGCCGUAAACGUUGGGAACUAGAUGUAGGGCCUGUUCCACGGGUUCUGUGUCGUAGCUAACGCAUUAAGUUCCCCGCCUGGGGAGUACGGCCGCAAGGCUAAAACUCAAAGGAAUUGACGGGGGCCCGCACAAGCGGCGGAGCAUGCGGAUUAAUUCGAUGCAACGCGAAGAACCUUACCAAGGCUUGACAUAUACCAGAACACCCUGGAAACAGGGGACUCUUUGGACACUGGUAUACAGGUGG
rnacentral:rRNA from 1 species